CCUGUCUCAAAGCUGGUGGUAUGUUAUAUGCCUCAUAUCACAGUCUUGAGAUGGGCG
rnacentral:pre_miRNA from 1 species